rnacentral:rRNA from 1 species
GCAGAACGCGAAGAACCUUACCAGGGUUUGACAUCCUACGACCGCUCCUUAAUAGGAGUUUUCCCGCAAGGGACGUAGAGACAGGUGCUGCAUGGCUGUCGUCAGCUCGUGUCGUGAGAUGUUGGGUUAAGUCCCGCAACGAGCGCAACCCUCGCCUUUAGUUGCCAUCAUUCAGUUGGGCACUCUAGAGGGACCGCCGGCGACAAGCCGGAGGAAGGUGGGGAUGACGUCAAGUCCUCAUGGCCCUUACACCCUGGGCUACACACGUGCUACAAUGGCGGUGACAGUGGGCAGCUACUCAGCGAUGAGCGGCUAAUCCCAAAAAACCGCCCCAGUUCAGAUUGCACUCUGCAACUCGAGUGCAUGAAGGUGGAAUCGCUAGUAAUCGCAGAACAGCAGGCUGCGGUGAAUACGUUCCCGGGU